rnacentral:rRNA from 1 species
AUGGAGAAGCGACGCGGGCUAUCUACUAUUGCCGCUCUCACGGCAUGGUCCCUCUGGCGCCAUCACAAUGCGGCCAUCUUCGACAAGAUUGUGCCCACCUCCGCCUCCCUCCUGACGGUGAUCAAGGACGACGCUCGCUCCUGGGCCUAUACAGGAGCCAAAGGACUUAGCAUCAUUAUCCCUGUAAUGUAG